UUUGAUCCUGGCUCAGGACGAACGCGGGCGGCGUGCCUAAUACAUGCAAGUCGAGCGGACAGAAGGGAGCUUGCUCCCGGAUGUUAGCGGCGGACGGGUGAGUAACACGUGGGUAACCUGCCUGUAAGACUGGGAUAACUCCGGGAAACCGGAGCUAAUACCGGAUAGUUCCUUGAACCGCAUGGUUCAAGGAUGAAAGACGGUUUCGGCUGUCACUUACAGAUGGACCCGCGGCGCAUUAGCUAGUUGGUGGGGUAAUGGCUCACCAAGGCGACGAUGCGUAGCCGACCUGAGAGGGUGAUCGGCCACACUGGGACUGAGACACGGCCCAGACUCCUACGGGAGGCAGCAGUAGGGAAUCUUCCGCAAUGGACGAAAGUCUGACGGAGCAACGCCGCGUGAGUGAUGAAGGUUUUCGGAUCGUAAAGCUCUGUUGUUAGGGAAGAACAAGUGCGAGAGUAACUGCUCGCACCUUGACGGUACCUAACCAGAAAGCCACGGCUAACUACGUGCCAGCAGCCGCGGUAAUACGUAGGUGGCAAGCGUUGUCCGGAAUUAUUGGGCGUAAAGGGCUCGCAGGCGGUUUCUUAAGUCUGAUGUGAAAGCCCCCGGCUCAACCGGGGAGGGUCAUUGGAAACUGGGAAACUUGAGUGCAGAAGAGGAGAGUGGAAUUCCACGUGUAGCGGUGAAAUGCGUAGAGAUGUGGAGGAACACCAGUGGCGAAGGCGACUCUCUGGUCUGUAACUGACGCUGAGGAGCGAAAGCGUGGGGAGCGAACAGGAUUAGAUACCCUGGUAGUCCACGCCGUAAACGAUGAGUGCUAAGUGUUAGGGGGUUUCCGCCCCUUAGUGCUGCAGCUAACGCAUUAAGCACUCCGCCUGGGGAGUACGGUCGCAAGACUGAAACUCAAAGGAAUUGACGGGGGCCCGCACAAGCGGUGGAGCAUGUGGUUUAAUUCGAAGCAACGCGAAGAACCUUACCAGGUCUUGACAUCCUCUGACAACCCUAGAGAUAGGGCUUUCCCUUCGGGGACAGAGUGACAGGUGGUGCAUGGUUGUCGUCAGCUCGUGUCGUGAGAUGUUGGGUUAAGUCCCGCAACGAGCGCAACCCUUGAUCUUAGUUGCCAGCAUUUAGUUGGGCACUCUAAGGUGACUGCCGGUGACAAACCGGAGGAAGGUGGGGAUGACGUCAAAUCAUCAUGCCCCUUAUGACCUGGGCUACACACGUGCUACAAUGGACAGAACAAAGGGCUGCAAGACCGCAAGGUUUAGCCAAUCCCAUAAAUCUGUUCUCAGUUCGGAUCGCAGUCUGCAACUCGACUGCGUGAAGCUGGAAUCGCUAGUAAUCGCGGAUCACCAUGCCGCGGUGAAUACGUUCCCGGGCCUUGUACACACCGCCCGUCACACCACGAGAGUUUGCAACACCCGAAGUCGGUGAGGUAA
rnacentral:rRNA from 2 species